rnacentral:lncRNA from 1 species
UCCCAUUCUAUCAGAUGAAAAUGAAAUUAUUAUGCUGAAAUUAUUAAGCUCAAUCUUAGACAUCCUAUAGUAAGCUAGGAGCUGCAAAAGGCUGCUAGGAUCUUCAACUGCAGUGUUAAAGAAAUUCCAUCUGCCAAUAGAGAAGUCAAAACUCUUCGAGAGAAUGAAGGUUACAACCCAGACUCCACUGCUCAAGAUACAGUCUGACCAAAUUGGAGUAGGAGGAUACCAUCACCUCCCUCGUUCUUGAUGCCCCACCUCCUUGCCUCUGAUGGGACACUCAAACUCCAGCUCCCUGACAUCCUGGUGAAGGAGACUGGCAAUGGCUAUGACCUUGGGAACUUCAGAUCAGGAGAGUGAAGCCACCAAGUGGACCAGGAAUGGAGUCCAAGCUGGGCUUUGUGGCCAAUCAAUUCCAUGCUGAAGCCCAGAACAAUGACUUUCAUAACCCAGCCUGCAAGUGCUGACACACAGACUCAUCCAAUAGUAAUGCCACAUUUGGGCAUGAAGCAAUAGGACUCUUACUAUGUAGAGACAGUAUUAAACUGAGCCUUCUCUGCCCAGGAACCAAACUGAUAUAGGGGACAGUUUGGACCCUGAGUACUGGGGGAGGGUAACAUUGGUAUUUCUGAUCUUAUUAUAUAUGUGAAGUUAAUAUUCUUUUUAAAAAAAUCUUAAACCCUUACCUUCCAUCUUAGAAUGGAGAGAAUGGAGCAGAAGAGUGGUAAGGGCUAGGCAAUGGGGGUCAAGUGACUUGCCCAGGGUCACACAGCUAGGAGGUGUCUGAGGCCAGAUUUAAACCUAGGACCUUCCAUCUCUACGUCCGGUUCUCAAUCCACUGAGCCACCUAGAUUCUCCCUUAUGAUGACUUUUUAAAAGAAAGAUGAAUAGAAUGUUUAGGAUAAAGUGUUCCUAUAUGGGUCCCCA